GAUUUGCCGCACCCGCCAAAAGACAUAUUUAGCACCCCAACAAGCCUUAGAAGACCAGCUGUGAGUAUCAAAACCCUUCGAAGACCAAAAACCCUCGAAGCGUAAAAAACCCUAAGCCUUCACUCUCGUUGAAAACCCUAAGCCUUCUCUCUCUCUAUUGAAAAACCUUAACCUUUGGAAGAGUACUAUAUUCAGACUCCAGUCUACAAUUAUUCUUAACUUGUCGGUAAUGGAAUCUCAUAGAUUUGAGUGGCGGCGAAAUCAAAAGUGAGGCGGGGGACAAUUUUGGGGUGGUACAUCACAUCGUGAAACAACGACGUGUAGUUGGUGAAUAGCCAGAGCAAUUUAGGGGUUUUCAUUUUCAAGAUCCUGCUCCGAUCUCCUCCGUGAAACAGCCAGAAAAUGUGAAGGUUUUUAUUCUAAGAACAGCUCGAAUCUGAUCUGCAUCUGGUUAGGAAGAUUUAUUUUGGGGUCAAUGUAGUUCGAAUCAAAGGACCAUCCAGAUAAAGGAGUCCAUGGGUUGGAAGAAAAGGAAGCUUUAUGGAUAUGAUGGUCACUGAAGUAUCUGGAACAGAGCCUCCUUGAGAGUUAUUCAUCUAGUUGAAGGUUUCCCUUUGUGGUGUCAAGAAAAAAAAAACACACACAAUUGCAAUGCUUUCUUAAAGAGGAAAGCAUAAGCUAGGUGUUCCAGAAUGUGACAAAAAUCUCAAGGAUGAUCAGUAACCUUGGGUAGGUAGCAUGUUCUGGCAACAUCUCUUUAUGAUCAAACCACCGGUUGCAAAGGAAACAGAUUUACCAAAAAUAGAGAAAUUGUUAUGUUGAAGGAGGUGAUAUUGAAAACCAUGAAGAUUCUAUCAAUGGGCUAAUUGAAAGGUUGAACUAGAUUUUUGUAGAUUAUGGUUUCUCUUAUUAAUCAUUGUAUUAAUGUUUGGCCUAAUGUUGAAGGAAUUACACAUUCUUGUUGAAAUCUUUUGAUAUAAUUGAUAAAUUUAUAUGUAAUUUGUAAAUAAGUAGUUAAAAUAAUUAUUCAAUAUUUGGAGA